UUUGGUCGUGUAUUGGUAUCACGUUGGUGUCGUCGUCGUCGUCGUCGUCCAAAGACAUUUGGUUUUCGCACUCUAACUUUAGUAAAAGUAAAUAGAAAUCUAUGAAAUUCAAACACAAGGUUUAUGACCAUAAAAGGAAGGUUGGGAUUGAUUUUGGGUGUUUUGGUCCCAACAGUUUAGGAAUUAGGGGCCAAAAAGGGCCCAAAUAAGCAUUUUUUUUUUU
rnacentral:lncRNA from 1 species